CAAUGUCACGUACUUUUAAAAGAGAAGUGUGGAUAUAUGAUAAAAUGGAUAAAGAUAAAUUUUUGAAAAAAAUGAAUGAAACAGAUUGGUAUGCACUUCUUCCCGAUGACAAGGAUGUUAAUGAAUUAUGUGAAAUAUUUACUGUAACUUUUCUGAACAUUGCAAGGGAGUGCAUACCUACUAAACAAGUAACUAUACGAAAAAACGACAAACCAUGGUUCAAUAGCGAGCUUAGGAGAGAAAUACGGACUAGAGAUCGAUUACGAAAAAAGGCUUUUAAAUCUAAAAAACAAUCUGAUAUUUUGAAGUACAAGCGACAGAGAAAUAGGGUCAAUAAUAUGAAAAAAGUUGCUA
rnacentral:lncRNA from 1 species